UGACGAGUGGCGGACGGGUGAGUAAUGUCUGGGAAACUGCCCGAUGGAGGGGGAUAACUACUGGAAACGGUAGCUAAUACCGCAUAACGUCUUCGGACCAAGUGGGGGACCUUCGGGGCCUCACACCAUCGGAUGUGCCCAGAUGGGAUUAGCUAGUAGGUGGGGUAAUGGCUCACCUAGGCGACGAUCCCUAGCUGGUCUGAGAGGAUGACCAGCCACACUGGAACUGAGACACGGUCCAG
rnacentral:rRNA from 1 species